AAAAGAAUUCAUAUGCAUUUGCUCUAGGCUAAUUGCCCAUUGUAUUCCUCGUAUUGUUCAAGAGGUGAGAUGAGAAGACACAACUCAUAUUACGCACUGAUUAGGCUUGUUAAGAAGAAAAUUCCAAAUGAUUUUCAAGGAAAUAUGCAAUAGAUAAUUACUACAACGCAUCAUAGCUGUAUUAAUCCUUAACUCUCUUCCAAAUAUAUUUCCGUUAUUGAAGAAAAACCAAAUAUAUCCCCGUUAUUGGAAGAAACAACAUUAUACUAAAAUUCAGAUCAUACAGAAAAGAAAAAAAAAAUCAAUACGUAUCAAAAGGGACUAAGAGAACACUUUCUAUAUUGCUCUGAUUGGGUGCAAUCACAAACAAAGUUCAC